rnacentral:tRNA from 1 species
AGUUAAUUAACUUAAUUAAAGUUUAUAUUUUGAAAAUAUAGGAUGUAAGUUGAACUCUUACAUUAACUU